UUCCGGUUGAUCCUGCCGGACCCGACUGCUAUUUGGAUGAGGAUAAGCCAUGCGAGUUGAAUGGGAAACCUAAAGUUCCCAUGGCAAACUGCUCAGUAACACAUGAUCAACUUACCCUAUAGAGAAAAAUAACCUCGGGAAACUGAGGAUAAUGUUUCAUAGUUGAAUUGGCUUGGAAAAGUUUUUCGACGAAAGGGGUAAAAAAAAUGGUUUUUAUCUGCUAUAGGAUAGGAUCGUGUUCGAUUAUGGUUGUUGGUGAGGUAAUGGCUCACCAAGCCGAUAAUCGAUAGGGGCCGUGAGAGCGGGAGCCCCGAGAUGGGUACUGAGACAACGACCCAGGCCUUACGAGGCGCAGCAGGCGCGAAGCCUCCGCAAUACACGAAAGUGUGACGGGGUUACCCAAAGUGUUCAAUUUUGAACUGUGGUAGGUGAGUAAUGUUCCCUACUAGAAAGGAGAGGGCAAGGCUGGUACCAGCCGCCGCGGUAAAACCAGCUCUUCAAGUGGUCGGGAUAAUUAUUGGGCUUAAAGUGUCCGUAGCCGGUUUAGUAAGUUCCUGGUAAAAUCGGGUAGCUUAACUAUCUAUAUGCUAGGAAUACUACUAUACUAGAGGGCGGGAAAGGUCUGAGGUACUGCAGGGGUAGGGGUGAAAUCUUAUAAUCCUUGUUGGACCACCAGUGGCGAAGGCGUCAGACUGGAACGCGCCUGACGGUGAGGGACGAAAGCCAGGGGAGCGAACCGGAUUAGAUACCCGGGUAGUCCUGACCGUAAACGAUGCAUACUAGGUGAUGGCACGGGCCAUGAGCCGUAUCAGUGCCGUAGGGAAACCGUUAAGUGUGCCGCCUGGGAAGUACGGUCGCAAGGCUAAAACUUAAAGGAAUUGGCGGGGGAGCACACAGGGGUGAAGCUGCGGUCAAUGGACUCACGCGU
rnacentral:rRNA from 1 species